GAAGGAUAAGUCAGUGGUGAAAUCUUGCGGCUUAACCGUAAAAUUGCCAUUGAUACUGUUUUUUCUUGAGUGUGGUUGAGGUAGGCGGAAUGAGUAGUGUAGCGGUGAAAUGCUUAGAUAUUACUCAGAACACCGAUUGCGUAGGCAGCUUACUAAGCCAUUACUGACGCUGAUGCACGAAAGCGUGGGUAGCAAACAGGAUUAGAUACCCUGGUAGUCCACGCAGUAAACGUUGAUUACUCGUUGUUGGCAAUACAUCGUCAGCGACUGAGCAAAAGCAUUAAGUAAUCCACCUGGGGAGUACGUCAGCAAUGAUGAAACUCAAAGGAAUUGACGGGGGCCCGCACAAGCGGAGGAACAUGUGGUUUAAUUCGAUGAUACGCGAGGAACCUUACCUGGGCUUAAAUGUUAAGUGCUAUACCGGGAGACCGGUUUUUCCUUCGGGACACUUUACAAGGUGCUGCAUGGUUGUCGUCAGCUCGUGCCGUGAGGUGUCGGGUUAAGUCCCAUAACGAGCGCAACCCCUAUUGCCAGUUGCCAGCACAUCAUGGUGGGAACUCUGGUAAAACUGCCGGGGUGCAAACCGCGAGGAAGGUGGGGAUGACGUCAAAUCAGCACGCCCUAUGUCCAGGCCACACACGGUACAAUGUCGGUACAACAGGAAGCUAUUCCGCGAGGAACCGCUAAUCCCGAACCGAUCUUAGUUCGGAUCGGAGUCUGCAUUCGACUCCGUGAGCUGGAUUCGCUAGUAAUCGCAGAUCACCAUGCUCGGGAUAGUUCCCGGCUUGUACACACCGCCCGUCAC
rnacentral:rRNA from 1 species